UACGUAGGGUGCGAGCGUUGUCCGGAAUUACUGGGCGUAAAGAGCUCGUAGGUGGUUUGUCGCGUUGUUCGUGAAAACUCACAACUCAAUUGUGGGCGUGCGGGCGAUACGGGCAGACUGGAGUACUGCAGGGGAGACUGGAAUUCCUGGUGUAGCGGUGAAAUGCGCAGAUAUCAGGAGGAACACCGAUGGCGAAGGCAGGUCUCUGGGCUGUAACUGACGCUGAGGAGCGAAAGCAUGGGGAGCGAACAGG
rnacentral:rRNA from 1 species